rnacentral:rRNA from 1 species
UGCGUAGGGGGCUAGCGUUGUCCGGAAUCAUUGGGCGUAAAGAGCGCGUAGGCGGCCAGAUAAGUCCGGUGUGAAAGUCACAGGCUCAACCUGUGAAUGCCGCUGGAAACUGUCUGGCUAGAGUCCGGAAGGGGCGAGUGGAAUUCCUGGUGUAGCGGUGAAAUGCGCAGAUAUCAGGAGGAACACCGAUGGCGAAGGCAGGUCUCUGGGCAUUAACUGACGCUGAGGAGCGAAAGCAUGGGGAGCGAACAGG